rnacentral:rRNA from 1 species
AAACUAGGAUUAGAUACCCUAUUAUUUUAGAGGUAAACAUUGUUAGUAAAUAAAAAUUACGAAAGCAAAAAAUUAUGGCGGUAUUUUAAGCUUUUCAGAGGAAUUUGCUCUUUAAUGGAUAAAACACCUAAAUCUUACUUAAAUUUGUUAAUUCAAUUUGUAUACCACUAUAAAAACAAUUAAUAACUUCAAUUGUUAAAAUUUAUUAAAUUAAGUUAUAUUAAGUCAAGGUGCAGUAAAAAUUUAAGAAUGAAGUGAAUUACAUUUCUUUUUAGAGAGAGAGAAAUUUAAAUAACAUUUAGGAUUUGAAAGUAAAAUUGAAAUAGAAUGUCAAUUUGAAUUAAGCUCUAAAAUAUGUACAUAUCGCCCGUCACUCUUUAUUAAGAUAAGUCGUUACAUAG